rnacentral:rRNA from 1 species
UACGGAGGAUGCGAGCGUUAUCCGGAUUUAUUGGGUUUAAAGGGUGCGCAGGCGGCACGGCAAGCCGGCGGUCAAAUCGCGGGGCUCAACCCCGCCCAGCCGUCGGAACUGCCGGGCUAGAGUGGGCGAGAAGUGCGCGGAAUGCGUGGUGUAGCGGUGAAAUGCAUAAAUAUCACGCAGAACUCCGAUUGCGAAGGCAGCGCACCGGCGCCCUACUGACGCUCAGGCACGAAAGCGUGGGUAUCGAACAGG